rnacentral:rRNA from 1 species
UGGGGAAUCUUCCGCAAUGGACGAAAGUCUGACGGAGCAACGCCGCGUGUAUGAUGAAGGUCUUCGGAUUGUAAAGUACUGUCAUUGGGGAAGAACGGUUUUCUUGAGAAUAUUGAGAAGACAUGACGGUACCCAAGGAGGAAGCCCCGGCUAACUACGUGCCAGCAGCCGCGGUAAUACGUAGGGGGCAAGCGUUGUCCGGAAUUAUUGGGCGUAAAGGGCGCGUAGGCGGGCCUUUAAGUCCGGUGUGAAAGAUCAGGGCUCAACCCUGAGAGUGCAUCGGAAACUGGAGGCCUUGAGGACAGGAGAGGAAAGUGGAAUUCCACGUGUAGCGGUGAAAUGCGUAGAUAUGUGGAGGAACACCAGUGGCGAAGGCGACUUUCUGGACUGUAACUGACGCUGAGGCGCGAAAGCGUGGGGAGCAAACAGGAUUAGAUACCCUGGUAGUCCACGCCGUAAACGAUGAGUGCUAGGUGUAGAGGGUAUCGACCCCUUCUGUGCCGCAGUUAACACAAUAAGCACUCCCGCCUGGGGAGUACGGCCGCAAGGUUG